rnacentral:rRNA from 1 species
UACGUAGCCAGCAAGCGUUGUUCGGAGUUACUGGGCGUAAAGAGUAUGUAGGCGGUUGCGUAAGUUCGGUGUGAAAUCUCCCGGCUUAACUGGGAGGGUGCGCCGAAAACUGCGUGGCUUGAGUGCGGGAGAGGAGAGCGGAAUUCCUGGUGUAGCGGUGAAAUGCGUAGAUAUCAGGAGGAACACCGGCGGUGUAGACGGCUCUCUGGACCGUAACUGACGCUGAGAUACGAAAGCGUGGGUAGCAAACAGG